GGUAAGACGGUGCCCAGCCGCCGCGGUAAUACCCGCAGCCCGAGUGGUGGUCGAUAUUAUUGAGCGUAAAGCGUUCGCAGCCGGUCUGGUAAAUCCUUGGGUAAAUCGGCCAGCUUAACUGUCGGAUUUCCGAGGUCACUGCCAGACUGGGACCCGGGAGAGGUUAGAGGUACUCCUUGGGUAGGGGUAAAAUCCUGUAAUCCUAGGAGGACCAUCAGUGGCGAAGGCGUCUAACUAGAACGGAUCCGACGGUCAGGAACGAAGCCCUGGGUCGCAAACUGGAUUAGAUACCCAGGUAGUCCAGGGUGUAAACGCUGCGAGCUUGGUGUCGGAGGUCCUACGAGGGUGUCCGGUGCCGGAGAGAAGUUGUUAAGCUCGCCGCUUGGGGAGUACGGUCGCAAGACUGAAACUUAAAGGAAUUGGCGGGGGAGCACCGCAACGGGAGGAUGCGUGAGGUUUAAUUGGAUUCAACGCCGGAAAACUCACCGGGGGCGACGGUUACAUGUGGGUCAAGCUGAUGACUUUACCCGAAUUUCCGAGAGGUGGUGCAUGGCCGUCGUCAGUUCGUACCGUAGGGCGUUCUCUCAAGUGAGAUAACGAACGAGACCCUCAUCCCCAAUUGCCACUUCAUGGGUGACCAUGGAAGCACAUUGGGGAGACCGCUACUGCUAAAGUAGAGGAAGGGGAGGUCAACGGUAGGUCAGUAUGCCCCGAAUCCCCCGGGCAACACGCGCGCUACAAAGGAUGGGACAAUGGGCUUCAACACCGAAAGGUGAAGGCAAACCCGAAACCCAUUCGUAGUUCGGAUUGAGGGCUGUAACCCGCCCUCAUGAAGCUGGAUUCCGUAGUAAUCGCGGGUCAACAUCCCGCGGUGAAUAUGCCCCUGCUCCUUGCACACACCGCCCGUCAAACCACCCGAGUUGGGUCCAAAUGAGGUUCUGCCCUGUGGUAGGCUCGAACU
rnacentral:rRNA from 1 species